rnacentral:rRNA from 1 species
GAGGGUGAUCGGCCACAUUGGAACUGAGACACGGUCCAAACUCCUACGGGAGGCAGCAGUGGGGAAUAUUGCACAAUGGGCGAAAGCCUGAUGCAGCAACGCCGCGUGAGUGAUGAAGGCCUUCGGGUCGUAAAACUCUGUCCUCAAGGAAGAUAAUGACGGUACUUGAGGAGGAAGCCCCGGCUAACUACGUGCCAGCAGCCGCGGUAAUACGUAGGGGGCUAGCGUUAUCCGGAUUUACUGGGCGUAAAGGGUGCGUAGGCGGUCUUUCAAGUCAGGAGUGAAAGGCUACGGCUCAACCGUAGUAAGCUCUUGAAACUGGGAGACUUGAGUGCAGGAGAGGAGAGUGGAAUUCCUAGUGUAGCGGUGAAAUGCGUAGAUAUUAGGAGGAACACCAGUUGCGAAGGCGGCUCUCUGGACUGUAACUGACGCUGAGGCACGAAAGCGUGGGGAGCAAACAGGAUUAGAUACCCUGGUAGUCCACGCUGUAAACGAUGAGUACUAGGUGUCGGGGGUUACCCCCUUCGGUGCCGCAGCUAACGCAUUAAGUACUCCGCCUGGGAAGUACGCUCGCAAGAGUGAAACUCAAAGGAAUGGACGGGGACCCGCACAAGUAGCGGAGCAUGUGGUUUAAUUCGAAGCAACGCGAAG